rnacentral:rRNA from 1 species
CCUACGGGAGGCAGCAGUUAGGAAUUUUGCGCAAUGGGGGAAACCCUGACGCAGCAACGCCGCGUGGGUGAUGAAGGCCUUCGGGUUGUAAAGCCCUUUUGUGGGGGACGAUAAUGACGGUACCCCACGAAUAAGCCUCGGCUAACUACGUGCCAGCAGCCGCGGUAAAACGUAGGAGGCGAGCGUUGUCCGGAUUUACUGGGCGUAAAGAGCGCGUAGGCGGCUCUAUGGGUCAGGUGUGAAAUCCUCCGGCUAAACUGGAGGGGGUCACUUGAAACUAUAGGGCUAGAGUGCAGUAGAGGGAGACGAAAUUCCCGGUGUAGUGGUGAAAUGCGUAGAUAUCGGGAGGAACACCAGUGGCGAAGGCGGCUUUCUGGGCCUAUCCUGACGCUGAGGAGCGAAAGCGGGGGGAGCAAACCGGAUUAGAUCCCCCUGUAGU